rnacentral:rRNA from 1 species
UACAGAGGUCUCAAGCGUUGUUCGGAUUCAUUGGGCGUAAAGAGCGUGUAGGCGGCUCGGUAAGUCCGCUCUGAAAGCCCGGGGCUCAACCCCGGGAGGCGGGCGGAUACUGUCGGGCUAGAGUCCGGAAGAGGCGAGUGGAAUUCCUGGUGUAGCGGUGAAAUGCGCAGAUAUCAGGAGGAACACCAAUGGCGAAGGCAGCUCGCUGGGACGGUACUGACGCUGAGACGCGAAAGCGUGGGGAGCAAACAGG